rnacentral:rRNA from 1 species
CCUACGGGUGGCAGCAGUCGAGAAUCAUUCACAAUGGGGGAAACCCUGAUGGUGCGACGCCGCGUGGGGGAAUGAAGGUCUUCGGAUUGUAAACCCCUGUCAUGUGGGAGCAAAUUAAAAAGAUAGUACCACAAGAGGAAGAGACGGCUAACUCUGUGACAGCAGCCGCGGUAAUACAGAGGUCUCAAGCGUUGUUCGGAAUCACUGGGCGGAAAGCGUGCGUAGGAUGUUUCGUAAGUCGUGUGUGAAAGGCGCGGGCUCAACCCGCGGACGGCACAUGAUACUGCGAGACUAGAGUAAUGGAGGGGGAACCGGAAUUCUCGGUGUAGCAGUGAAAUGCGUAGAUAUCGAGAGGAACACUCGUGGCGAAGGCGGGUUCCUGGACAUUAACUGACGCUGAGGCACGAAGGCCAGGGGAGCGAAAGGGAUUAGAUACCCCAGUAGUC